rnacentral:misc_RNA from 1 species
AAAGUCGUAACAAGGUUUCCGUAGGUGAACCUGCGGAAGGAUCAUUACCAAUAUCUUUCUUAAAAGAUGCUAUCCAUGUGCACUGUUUCUAUUACAGAAGCCUUCUUGUUGCCUGAUCCUUUGAGUUGCAUAAUAAAAUAAAACUUUUAACAACGGAUCUCUUGGCUCUC